CCUACGGGAGGCAGCAGUAGGGAAUCUUCCACAAUGGGCGAAAGCCUGAUGGAGCAACGCCGCGUGAGUGAUGAAGGCCUUCGGGUUGUAAAACUCUGUCAUUCGGGACGAACCGGAGUCUGAGGAAAUGCAGACUCUCUGACGGUACCGGAGGAGGAAGCCCCGGCUAACUACGUGCCAGCAGCCGCGGUAAUACGUAGGGGGCAAGCGUUGUCCGGAUUCACUGGGCGUAAAGCGCGCGCAGGCGGUGAUGUAAGUCUGAGGUGAAAACCCGAAGCUCAACUUCGGGACUGCCUUGGAUACUGCGUCACUUGAGGAUAGGAGAGGCAAGGGGAAUUCCACGUGUAGCGGUGAAAUGCGUAGAGAUGUGGAGGAACACCUGUGGCGAAGGCGCCUUGCUGGCCUAUUUCUGACGCUGAGGCGCGAAAGCGUGGGGAGCAAACAGGAUUAGAUACCCUGGUAGUCCACGCUGUAAACGAUGAGUGCUAGGUGUAGGUGGGCUCAUACCCAUCUGUGCCGAAGCUAACGCAUUAAGCACNCCGCCCGUCGGGUAGGUACGGUCGCGACGACGUAGAACGUACGAAAGAAAGUUAGACGGCGUUGAGGACGNGCCGACGGACGACGACGAGGGAGGUUAGGG
rnacentral:rRNA from 1 species